rnacentral:rRNA from 1 species
AACGAACGCUGGCGGCAUGCCUAACACAUGCAAGUCGAACGAGACCUUCGGGUCUAGUGGCGCACGGGUGCGUAACGCGUGGGAAUCUACCCUCAGGUUCGGAAUAACUCAGAGAAAUUUGUGCUAAUACCGGAUGAUGACGUAAGUCCAAAGAUUUAUCGCCUGAGGAUGAGCCCGCUUAGGAUUAGGUAGUUGGUGAGGUAAAGGCUCACCAAGCCGACGAUCCUUAGCUGGUCUGAGAGGAUGAUCAGCCACACUGGGACUGAGACACGGCCCAGACUCCUACGGGAGGCAGCAGUGGGGAAUAUUGGACAAUGGGCGAAAGCCUGAUCCAGCAAUGCCGCGUGAGUGAUGAAGGCCUUAGGGUUGUAAAGCUCUUUUACCCGGGAUGAUAAUGACAGUACCGGGAGAAUAAGCUCCGGCUAACUCCGUG